rnacentral:lncRNA from 1 species
UAGAGAUGAUAAUAAUCAAACACUAGAAAUCCAUCCAUUCACAUUCGCUUGGAGAUCAAGCAAAUUAGAUUGCGAACUCCUUCUGGCUGCUCAAGAUUAUAUUGUGUAAUCAUGCCACGAGCAGCAAUGCAGCUAUGGAGGGUCAUGUUAAGAAGCAUGGCAUCAAGCAUCUUUCCUCCUAUAUUAUCGAAGUAAAUUUCAAUACCAUCUGGAAAAUACCUGCAAAAUCAAGAUUCAAGUCUACAUUCUUCUAGCCGUAGAAAGUAUGGAGACAAAUUGGACAUCACCUUGAUGUCAUGUUCGCCACAAGUGACGAAGCUUUCAACUAUAAAGAAGAGGCGGAAUUGAAUGUGGCUCUGAAAAGGUCAGCUUCCAUAGUGUUGGAUUAUUGGGGACUUUAAGACAAAGCCCUUAAAACUUGCUUUUCCUCUGGACCGUUACCAGUUGGAACCGCAUAAGUCUUGAUGAAGACAACAUUUUACUCGAAUAAAGCAUGUUAAUGUGCCACUGAGUGGUAUUCCUUAGCUCAAAACACAUUUUUCAGAUUAUCACGAAUUAAUCCAUCUUUCCAAAAUUGGCACUUUUAGUUCUUGUUCCUUAGCAUCAUUCCAACUACCUGCAAAGACGCAUGAUACUCCAUUUGUCUCGGUACUUCCUAGUUUCUGCAGCUAGAAAGAUGUGGACUUCUUACUGGAAUAUUGAUAUUCCAGCAACUUUCCGGGUGGUAUUGAUAUUCCUAAGUACCUGGAAAGCCACCACCUGUACUACAAAAGUUUCCUAUCUCCACCAUUUUUAUUAGCUUAGAGUUUUAUCUUCUAAGUUGAUUUGUGGAAUUCUCUGUUUAGACCUUAAAAUGGGAACAUUAUUUUCAUGCAUGUUUCGACCUUUUUCUUCUUAUGCCAUGUUUGUCAUUCCUGUUGCCUUUCCUGCUAAAGUCAUGCAGAGGGUGAUAUUUUACUGAUUCCAACUGUUCUUUUGCUAUGUCAACCUUCCGAUUUUCAACUUUCUGCAAUAAUACAUAGAUAAGUGCAUUAAGUUCUUCAUACAAUUAUCCCAUAAUCCACCAAAUAAUUCACUAGAGUCUACACUUACAAGAGCCUUAUCAUAAUUUGCAAUUUGUUGCUUGCAAAGCCUGAGCUCCAUCUCAAGUGCACUAAUCCGAGACUCGACAGGUACAUUACAUUGCUCAACCAUCUGCUUUUGUGUACCUCGAACUACCUCUGGUUGCCACACUUUCAACGCAGCCGAUGCUU